rnacentral:rRNA from 1 species
AGCGAACGCUGGCGGCAGGCCUAACACAUGCAAGUCGAACGAACCCUUCGGGGUUAGUGGCGGACGGGUGAGUAACACGUGGGAACGUGCCUUUAGGUUCGGAAUAACUCAGGGAAACUUGUGCUAAUACCGAAUGUGCCCUUCGGGGGAAAGAUUUAUCGCCUUUAGAGCGGCCCGCGUCUGAUUAGCUAGUUGGUGAGGUAAUGGCUCACCAAGGCUACGAUCAGUAGCUGGUCUGAGAGGAUGACCAGCCACAUUGGGACUGAGACACGGCCCAAACUCCUACGGGAGGCAGCAGUGGGGAAUCUUGCGCAAUGGGCGAAAGCCUGACGCAGCCAUGCCGCGUGAAUGAUGAAGGUCUUAGGAUUGUAAGAUUCUUUCACCGGGGACGAUAAUGACGGUACCCGGAGAAGAAGCCCCGGCUAACUUCGUGCCAGCCGCCGCCGUAAGAC